AGCAGUCAAGGAUCGAUAUAAGAUAUAAAAGACCUCUUAUAAGACAACCUUAGUCAUUUUAUCACCAACGAGUGGUUUGUCACAUAAUCAUGAAGAUAUCAAGUUGGAUCAUUUGUAGUAUUGUUGUUGCUUACAUAGCUGGGACAGCAGAGGCAGUUUGGAAUCUCGAGGGUGCUAGCGGGAAAAGAGGCGUUUUAAAAAAGAGAUUGAAGAAAUUACCGUCCACCAAGCGACUAUGUUCCAAACAAUUGACUUUAGAAGAAUGUAUGGCAGAGUUACAGGAUUCCAAGAUUUACGAGAGACAUCCAUUUCGAUUUCUGCGCCCUAAAGAACGCCUCGAUGACUGAACAAUCGCAUCUAUCAACAAUAAACUUUGAAAAUAUGCCUCGAAUUAUUACGCCAGUAUUAUCAUUGUAAUUUAGUUUAUAAAAUGUUAACACGAAUUAUUUUUGAGAA